CGCGGCGGGCGGGUGGCGGCUGAGCUCGGCGCUGGCGCUGGCGCCGGCUGGCGAGGUUCGCCCGGGACUGCCUCAGGCUCUCAGAGUGUGCCGCCGGCCCGGCAGCAGGGCCCGCCUGACCGCGCCGGCCCGUGGCGGGAGCUCGGGGACCGCGUCCGGGAGGCAGUGGCCGCCAGCGCGGGGCAGUCGGCGGCCACCCCCUGGGGACCGGGGCUGCGCGGCCACUUCCCGCCUCGCGGCGCCGCCGUCGCCGCCGCCGCCGCCGCCGCCGCCAGGCCGACCGCCCGGCUUGGCUCCGCCGCGCCCCGGCCGCGGCGUCCGGCCCGGGUUCCGCGCCGCUAGGGCGCGGGCGGGGUCGGGGGUUGCGUGGCCGGCGCUGCUCGCCCGCCUCGAGUCCGCGUCCCGGGCCCGGGCGGCCGGCGAGCAUGGAGGAGAAGUACCUGCCGGAGCUGAUGGCGGAGAAGGACUCCCUGGACCCCUCCUUCACGCACGCCCUGCGGCUGGUGAACCAAGAAAUAGAAAAGUUUCACAAAGGAGAAGGCAAGGACGAAGAAAAGUACAUUGAUGUGGUGAUUAAUAAGAACAUGAAGCUGGGACAGAAAGUGUUGAUUCCUGUAAAACAGUUCCCUAAGUUCAACUUUGUGGGAAAACUUUUGGGGCCACGUGGCAAUUCUCUGAAGCGCUUGCAAGAAGAAACCUUGACAAAAAUGUCCAUCCUUGGAAAAGGCUCCAUGAGAGACAAGGCAAAGGAAGAAGAGUUGAGGAAAAGUGGAGAAGCAAAGUACUUCCACCUCAAUGAUGAUCUCCAUGUUCUGAUUGAAGUGUUUGCCCCGCCAGCAGAAGCCUAUGCCCGGAUGGGACAUGCUCUGGAGGAAAUCAAAAAGUUCCUCAUUCCGGACUAUAAUGAUGAAAUCAGGCAAGCACAGCUCCAGGAAUUGACAUAUUUGAAUGGUGGUUCAGAAAACGCAGAUGUGCCAGUUGUUCGAGGGAAACCUACCUUGCGUACAAGAGGUGUACCAACCCCAGCAGUAACCAGGGGAAGGGGAGGAGUCGCGGCCCGGCCAGUGGGAGUCGGGGUACCGCGAGGGACGCCGACUUCCAGAGGAAUCCUUUCCACCCGAGGGCCAGUGAGUCGAGGAAGAGGACUUCUCACUCCCAGAGCAAGAGGCGUCCCCCCAACUGGGUACAGACCUCCACCGCCACCCCCAACACAAGAGACCUAUGGAGAUUAUGACUAUGAUGAUGGAUAUGGCACUGCUUACGAUGAACAGAGUUAUGAUUCCUAUGAUAACAGCUAUAGCGCCCCAGCCCAAAGUGGUGCUGAUUACUAUGAUUAUGGACACGGACUCAGUGAAGAGACUUACGAUUCCUACGGGCAAGAGGAGUGGACAAACUCAAGACACAAGGCACCCUCGGCGAGGACAGCAAAGGGCGUCUACAGAGACCAGCCAUACAGCAGAUACUGACUGUACUGUCUGAUGUUGUGACAUAGCCAGUCUCCACCAGUCCUGUAUACUGUUCAAAGAAGUGUUGGCCAUCUUGGAAAGUGAAAGGAAGGUUGUGUCCGUCCAGCAGACACAGGAACUUUCCUUGCAAUUAUGGACUGCUUAAGAAUAAUCAACUCACCAACGUGCCUAGUCAGUAAAUGAAUUCACUUGAGAACUUGAAAAUAAUCACUUUUUUUUUUUUUUGUACAACUUUGUUUCAUGAAAUGUUUUAUAAAAUGGUAUGCUUUUUAAUUUGGAAAAUCUGUUUGAGAAAGGGAAAGAAAGUCAAUCUCUUUGUCUCCUCAUAACAGAAAACAAAUGAUUUGUGUAUUGCUUAACAAAGGCUGCCCAUUUCAAUCUCUUCUACUUUAAUAUAAACCUAGAAAAACAAAGGCUUGUUAUUUCAGCCCAGCUCUAAAUUCUGCACACUUGAGAACCAUAUAUGGCUGCAACUCACAGCUCACAAGAAGUCAAGCCUCAGCACAAAUUCCAGCUUUGAAAAUGAUUUAUCCAACUCAAUUAUGGACCAAUAAAUAUGAACAUGUUAUGCCAAAAGUAAGCGGCCACAUAAAAGGUUAAUUAUAAAGGCUUCUGCGGGAAGCAGUGGCGCUGUCAGAAUAGAAGCCCGGUUUUCAUGCCUCUGUACUUUGUUGUGGAACAUAAAGGUCGUCAUCCCCAUGGACAGUAUUACUCAGUUCCUUCUCUUUUCAUCACUUACUGGUGCUUUGUGAUUUUAAUUCAGUACGCCCCGGCAGGAUGCGUUUUAUUCCUUCUGCUAGAAGCUCACACAACACGCUUCCUAGUCUUGGAAUUUCGGAAACAGUCUUGUGCAUCAUUAAGUUGUCACUUUCUUACCUCAAAGACACAUUCCCUCAAGGCGUUCACUUUUUACAGGGUACCGUGUUGGGAGCAUUGUGUUAAAAGCACAGAACAACUUCUGAUAGGUUUGCUCUUCCUUAUCCUCUCGUGAUGCACCCUAAAGACAUGAUCUUCUACUCCUGCAGUUGGCACUUUUGCGUUUGUCAGAUACGUGGUUCUCCAUCUCAGAAGUGCAAGGAAUAAAGGCCCGCGUCCCGGAGGGCCACGGCAGUGCUGCGGUGAGUGGGCGUGGGUGCUCACCAGAGCACGGGCAGCAGUGCCCCUGUGUGGAAUUAAUCCUAAACAAGCAGGAACUUUAGGAUGGGAGCCAGACUGUCGUAAGUGGGGAGGAAUUUGAGCUCCCUUUCUGCCUGCAGCCUUUUCCCCUCCUGAGUUGGAGACACAGUCACAAAGCUGCAAGUGAAAUCCCAGGGAUGCGAACUGUCCAACUCACCUCCUGUCUGUCCCGCUUCUCCCAGCCUCACUCUCGCUGCCUUAGUCUUGGCCUCAUACUGUGCCACCUGUACCACUUCAGUUCACUGAGCACACAUUUACUGAGAGCCUCCUGCAUGCUGGGCACCGCCCUGCGUGUGAGAGCACAGGACAGAGCAGAGGGGCUCCUGCCUCGAGGAGCUUACCUCCCAGUGGGGGGAGCCAGGCCAUCACCCGCAAACCAGAGGACGCCAGGCAGUGACAGAGCUGGGGGCGACAGAGCACAGUCACGGGAAGAGGGGUUAGACUUGACUUUGGGCCAUAGGGGAAUAAUAAGGUGAUGUUUCAGCCGCGACCUAGAAAAGUAAAGAAAUGAGCUACGUCAAGACGCUAACGGGUGCCAGGAUCCUGAGGUGGGAACACGAGGGCUGGAGGAGCCCCGAGGAUGCAGGAAGGAAGUCAGGGUGGGGGCGGGGCCUGGGUGUGGAGGGCCGUCUCUGAGCUUUACUUCAGAGGGACUAUCAGGCACACUGAGCCCAAGAGGAACGCUAUCCAUCCGAUGUAUAUCUCAACAGAAUCACUUCGGCAACCACGUGGAGAAGCGGCGAUAGUGGGGCAAGGUAGGGGGGGACCUGUUAGAAGCCCCUGCGGUGAAGGUCAGAGGGAAUGCUGGCAUGGCCCGGGGUGGCCACCCUGCAAGUCCUGAGGACUGGCCAGACUUGAGACGCACUUAGAAAGUAGAGCCGAUAACACUUAGUCUACAGGUUGGAUGUGAGGUACAGAAAAGAAGGGGUUGGAUGAUGCAAAGAUUUUGAUCUAGAGCCAUUGGGAAAAUAGAAACUUCUCUCUGAGAUGGGAAGAUUGCAGAAGGGACUGUUUAAGAUACAGAUCUGACGUUUGAGGGGAGAUCUCAGCUGGAGAUGGGAAUUUGAGAGCCGUUAGAAUAUAGAUGUCUUGUAACGGUAUAGCCUGAGUGUGGACAUGAGAGGACAGGCCCAGGGAACAUACAACACGUACAAGUCAGUGAGAUGGCGAAGAACCAGACCCCAGGAAGGAGCUGCCGGGAGGUAAGAAGAGAACCAAGAGUCCUGCCCUCGACGGCACGUGUAGAGAGGGUUUCCCGGAGGAGGGCCGUGACCCUCUGCUGCAGGGGGCAGGUGACAUGAGGAAGACUGGACACGGUAGCCGCGUAGAGGCCGUGCUGGCCAUGCUUUGCUUCAGAGUGAGGCCUAGGCAGAUUCAUGAGAGAAUGGAGCAGGCAGACCUCGGAGGUACUGGGGGUUCGCUUCCACACCACGCAGUAAAGGUAACAAACACUGCAGUAGUAAAGUGAGUCACAAAGGUUUUGGUUUCCCAGUGCGUGUAAAAGUUAGACUACGGUGCAGUGGAAACAUGUUAAGUGGGCAACAGCAUCAUGUCUAAAAAAACAAGAUACAUACUUUAAUUAA